rnacentral:rRNA from 1 species
AACGCUAGCUACAGGCUUAACACAUGCAAGUCCCGGGGAAACGAUAGAGAGAGCUUGCUUUUUCUAGGCGUCGACCGGCGCACGGGUGAGUAACGCGUAUCCAACCUGCCCACCACUUGGGGAUAACCUUGCGAAAGUAAGACUAAUACCCAAUGACGUCUCUAGAAGGCAUCUGAAAGGGAUUAAAGAUUUAUCGGUGAUGGAUGGGGAUGCGUCUGAUUAGCUUGUUGGCGGGGUAACGGCCCACCAAGGCUACGAUCAGUAGGGGUUCUGAGAGGAAGGUCCCCCACAUUGGAACUGAGACACGGUCCAAACUCCUACGGGAGGCAGCAGUGAGGUUUUUUGGUCAAUGGGCGAGAGCCUGAACCAGCCAAGUAGCGUGCAGGAUGACGGCCCUAUGGGUUGUAAACUGCUUUUAUAAGGGAAUAAAGUGAGCCUCGUGAGGCUUUUUGCAUGUACCUUAUGAAUAAGGACCGGCUAAUUCCGUGCCAGCAGCCGCGGUAAUACGGAAGGUCCGGGCGUUAUCCGGAUUUAUUGGGUUUAAAGGGAGCGUAGGCCGGAGAUUAAGCGUGUUGUGAAAUGUAGAUGCCCAACAUCUGCACUGCAGCGCGAACUGGUUUCCUUGAGUACGCACAAAGUGGGCGGAAUUCGUGGUGUAGCGGUGAAAUGCUUAGAUAUCACGAAGAACUCCGAUUG